GUGCCAAUAGCCGUAACAACUUUAGGAUCCCUGAUGCGCCUCAAAAGAGAGGAGAAGGACUGGUUGGAUGUGCAAAAGCAUGAACUUUUUGACAUGAAUGAAUGCCAAAGCCAAAUUCUGCCUGCUUUAAGAUUGAGUUACAGCCAUUUGCCAGCACAUCUUAAACGUUGCUUUGCAUACUGUUCACUGUUUCCAAAAAACUAUGAAAUCCAUAAGGAAAAAUUAAUCCUUUUAUGGAUGGCAG
rnacentral:misc_RNA from 1 species